GGGAGACUCCCUCUCCUCCUCUCCUCCCGUCUGGGCCGAAACUCUCCAGAGUUAUUUCCUCUUUCCGGCAGCCUUGCUGAGAGUUGAUAUUUAACUUCAGCCCCACCAGAUAAAGAAAGCACCCAUGCAAUGGUUUUGAGAGGGAGAUCUGCAAAAUAAAGAUUAGCCUCCAAUGCCGAGAACACUGAACUGAUUAUUCAGGGUGAAAAUACAGAAGAAGAGCAUUUGUCCCUUGAAACAGUAAAGCAUGUGGAGAAUCCACACAGUCACAAGUAUGCAGCAGCCAUGCAGAGGAAAUGAACACUUUUAGUCACUUUAGGCAUAUAAACAAAAGAAUGCAGAUAGACGCACAUGAACCUAGAACUGCACCUAACCAUGAUCUUUCCAUUAUUUUUCCGAUGAAUACUCCUGGCAAUGACUAAACAAUCCAGAGAUUCUUAAAUAGCACCAGCAAGUAAUCAACAGACCGCAAGAUAUUUUCUCUAUGGUGUUAAUAAAGGUAUAAGAUGUAACACAAUGUUUCCAAACUGCAGUUAUUAUAACUGGUUGUGCAGCCAUGAAUUCACUAAAGGACAGGCAGUAAUGCAAUGCAUUUGGAUUUAUACAGUGCUUUUCUCUCUUACUCACCACUCAAAGCACUUUAGACUACAAGUCAUAUGUUUUUCACUUUCAUACAGUGCUUUAUCUACCUCGCAUCCAUGGCCAGUUUUGAAUAGCCAAUAAGCGGAACAUGUGUCUGGGACUGUGGGAGCAAGCCAGGAAACCCUCGCAGGGACAACAUGCAAACUUUGAACCAGGAAACUGCUUGGUGCCAGGCAGCAUUGCUAACCACUGACAAAACCAGCAUUCGGUUAAAUUUCUGACUCAUCUACAUUAUUGUACAAAAGUCUUGAACCAACCAGCAUUACCUCUGCCAAAUAGAUUAUGGUUUUGGUAAUAUGUGUGCGUGUAUGUGCCUGUAAACAUAGUAGCUCAAAAUGUUUUGAAUAAAUUCUGUUAAAAUUGUAUAGAGUGUGGUCAUGCGGGAAUCCAUUAAAAUUUGGCUUAUAUCUGCCAAGGUCUUCAAAUUCUAUUUACUGAUUUAUUGGUGGAAAUUAUAACGAAAAGCCUUAUAACUUACAAACUAUGAUUCAUACAAGGGUUUUGUGUAUUGUCAAGCUGUAGAAAGUAACAUAGGAUUUAACAUAGGAUGGUAUUUAAAAUACUGUGUCACAUUUGACCUCUGACCUGUCCUUCAAAGUCAAUAAAUUGAUCUCAUGGUCAAAGUGAGCGAUUUUAAAUGACAAUUGGUUUUCAGACUGACGAGAACAGGUUGACAAGGGAUACUUUUUGUGUACAGUUGAUUAAUUUUAUUACGACUUUGUUAUGUAAAUUAUAGUAAAA
ensembl:lncRNA